UGAUCUUGGCUCACUGCAACCUCCAACUACCAGGUUCAAGCAAUUCUCCUGCCUCAGCCUCCCGAAUAGCUGGGACUACAAGCGCAUGCCACCAUGCCAGGCUCAUUUUUGAAUUUUUAGUAGACACACGGUUUUGCCUUAUUGGCCAGGCUGGUCUCAAACUCCUCACCUCGGGACAUCCACUCGGCUUGGCCUCCCUAAAUGCUGGGAUUACAAGCAUGAGCCACUGCGCCUGACCAGUUUUUAAAUAAAGCACUUUAAAUGAGUUAUUCACAUAUCCCUUGUAUUUAUAUAGGGUACAGCUUUUUGUUUUAAAGCUGUUUGAAUAGUUCUCCAAGUUUCUGAGACUCAACUGCUUUUUUGGCUUAUGAAAUUGCCAUUAAUCAAGAUGCAUUCAUAAGGUAUCAAUUCCCUGAAAUGUAGGUAUUUAGUCCAUUCUAUCUAUCCAUGCAUCUAUCCAUCUGUCCAAUACUUUUUGUUUAAAGUCCCUAGAAUAACCAACCAGCCUUUAUAUGACUGAAUUUGAGA
rnacentral:lncRNA from 1 species